rnacentral:lncRNA from 1 species
GCUUCAAGGGUUCUAGCUCCUAAAACUCGAUCAGCCUUCAACUGAUCAAACCCUUCUCCAUACUUGAGUUUGGACCUCUCAGAACCUCCUUCUGGCCUUAACCUCAUUCUUUAGAAUCUCUUAAACCCUUAGAACUAUUGGGAAUAGGUUUCUCUUAAAAGAACAAACCUUAUCCUAAAACCUAGGAUUGUAAGAGAGGAAGAGAGGGAGUGGAUAGGGUUGUAGGAA